CUGCAAACCCAAGCCAAAUGCAGUGGUUGCUCUUCCACAAGCAGGGUUCCAAAUCUGGGAGGUUGAAGUACAUAUAGAUGGCAAAAGACAAGAAUGGCCCUGUUCAGUGAAAAUUAGCAAAAGAGACCUGUCUGAAAUGAUAAGCAUGGUUCCAUCAUCCUCUGAAGAACGCUGGGUUUCGCAGGCAGGCGGCUAGUCACCUGCAACAACCGAGGGGUCCCGCAGAAGCUUCCAGGCUGCUGUCCGUGUCAGACGCCAGGGUUUGAUCCGUGGACAUGGAUGAGAUGUCGUUGACAGAUGAGGAUGGAGGGAGGCUCUCACUGCUGUUCACUGCUGCACCUGUGCUACGAAAACGAACACCAACGUGAUUAAACCCGAAACCCCAGAAGGUGCCACGUGUUAAACCCACCUGGUGGUACGCAGGCCAUUUUAUCCAGUGGCAAACCUCAGCACGAAAUGGAUCAUGCAAACUUUAGACACUAGAUAAUAUUAAAUAUCUUACCAGGAAAUUCUGUCUCUCAGUCUGCUUUGAAAAGCU
rnacentral:lncRNA from 1 species